rnacentral:lncRNA from 1 species
UUAGAAGACACUUCAGACUGUUUAAAUCUACUGACAUUUUGAAGGUCGGCGUCUCUAGAUUAUUCACAAAUCAACUGUUGAAUGUGACAGGGCUGUUUCUAAACAGCCCUGAAAGCAAUGUCAGUUAUAAUGUCAGUGUGUUCUGAGGGUUACUUUCGGAAGAUGUGGGGCCUGGUGUUUUAUAUCUGCUCAGAAGCAUGGAGACAACCUGCAGAGGGACUGAGAAGAGGAGUCAGGAUAGCUCAAGAAGCAGGCAGGGUCCAGACAGGCUUUCAGGCUGAGAAUGUUUCUUGGAGAAAACAAACAUAUAAGCAGAAAGUUAUCGUGGAGGCAUCAGAAUGAGCCAGUGUGACAUGGGAAACCGGAACCUUCUAUUUCAUCAGUUAAUCAACUCUCCACCUGUACUUCACCCUAACACAAUAUCCAUUUGGCCUGAAAAGCCUGGUGCUUUCUACCCUCUGCUACAGAAAGAGCCCCUGUAAGGUUGGAAGAGACUAAAUGACCUACCACCCAAAGUGCAUAAGAACUUCACAAGACAAUGACAGAGGCCAAGACUGUAAGUCCCAUAGACAGUAAAUCCACCCCGAUGCUACAGAGCACACAUUCCCCUCCCCCCUUUCAAGUUA